GUUUACUAUCGUCGAGUCGCGACUUCUAGGGGGGGCGAUUCUUUGGGAUGAAAGUUAUUACAACUUUCGGCAGCGGAUCUCUUGGCUCUCGCAUCGAUGAAGAACGCAGCGAAAGGCGAUAUGUAAUGUGAAUUGCGGAUCUACGUGAAUCAUCGAAUCUUUGAACGGCCUUGCGGGGCUCGGUGUUCCGAGGAGCAUGCCGGUUUGAGUGUCGUAAAUUCUCAACCCCUCUCGAUCUUCUUCGAAGAGGGCGCGUGGAUGGUGGAGGUUGCCGGAGACUCGGAUUCGUUCCGAGACUCGGGCUCUUCUGAAAUGCAGCGGCUUGCGGUCGACUUUCACUAUGCGCGACAAGGCUUUCGGCGUGAUAAGGAUCGCCGUUCGCCGAAGCGCAUGGCAGAAGGUUCCGCGCCUGUAACGCGUCGACCGCUUACUAUCUCUCCGGAGAGAGCGGCGGGUUCCUAAUAACUUUUGACCUCGAAUCAGGUAGGACUACCCGCGUGAACUUGGGCAUAU
rnacentral:rRNA from 1 species